GUUCCUGUAGCGCAAUGGACAGCGCGUUUAACUACAGUUCAAAGGUCGUGGAUUCUAAUCCCACCUGGGAUG